ensembl:snoRNA SNORA62 Small nucleolar RNA SNORA62/SNORA6 family
ACUGCACGCUGUUAGAGCCUGGAGUUGAUGCCACUGGCUGGCCAAUGAACUCACGAGUGUAAGCAUAUGCUUUGUGAGGAGCAGGUCUUUCGCUAACACCACAGGUCUCUGACCCAACGAGUGUAGUUUGAUAGUAAUCUUGCUGUAAGU